CUCACUGCAUCGUCAUGUGCCUUCCAGCUGACCGUCCCAAUGCCUCUGAUCGCACAGCUCGAUCCAUCCGGCAGAUAUAUAGUGCCCUCACUGUUCUCUAGGGAGUCAAGCUGCUCCUCUCUGCAACAUACAUGAUAGGGACAUGCAGAAUCUAAUAUCCACUGCUGGGAAGAAGUAGAUACCUCGUCAGAUAUCUCUAGGACAUCUCCAUCUGAAUCGGUGCCGGCCGUCGCUACAGCAGCCACCGUCCGAUUUUU
rnacentral:lncRNA from 1 species